CCUACGGGAGGCAGCAGUGAGGAAUAUUGGUCAAUGGGCGCGAGCCUGAACCAGCCAAGUAGCGUGAAGGAUGACUGCCCUACGGGUUGUAAACCUCUUUUGCCGGGGAGCAACGGGCGCCCCGUGUGGCGCCACUGAGUGUACCCGGAGAAAAAGCAUCGGCUAACUCCGUGCCAGCAGCCGCUGUAAUACGGAGGAUGCGAGCGUUAUCCGGAUUUAUUGGGUUUAAAGGGUGCGUAGGCGGGGCGUUAAGUCAGUGGUAAAAUUGAGGGGCUCAACCCCUUCCCGCCAUUGAAACUGGCGCUCUUGAGUGGAAGAGAGGUAUGCGGAAUGCGUGGUGUAGCGGUGAAAUGCAUAGAUAUCACGCAGAACCCCGAUUGCGAAGGCAGCAUGCCGGCUUCCGACUGACGCUGAAGCACGAAAGCGUGGGGAUCGAACAGGAUUAGAUACCCUGGUAGUC
rnacentral:rRNA from 1 species